CCUACGGGGUGCAGCAGUGGGGAAUAUUGCACAAUGGGCGAAACCCUGAUGCAGCGACGCCGCGUGAGUGAAGAAGUAAUUCGUUAUGUAAAGCUCUAUUAGCAGGGAAGAAAAUGACGGUACCUGACCAAGAAGCCCCGGCUAACUACGUGCCAGCAGCCGCGGUAAUACGCAGGGGGCAAGCGUUAUCCGGAUGUACUGGGUGUAAAGGGAGCUUAGACGGCAGGGCAAGUCUGGAGUGAAAGGCGGGGGCUCAACCCGCGGACUGCUGUGGAAACUGCCAGGCUGGAGUGCAGGAGAGGUAAGUGGAAUUCCUAGUGUAGCGGUGAAAUGCGUAGAUAUUAGGAGGAACACCAGUGGCGAAGGCGGCUUACUGGACUGUAACUGACGUUGAGGCACGAAAGCGUGGGGAGCGAACAGGAUUAGAUACCCCAGUAGUC
rnacentral:rRNA from 1 species